rnacentral:rRNA from 1 species
CGCGUAGGCGGUUCGUUAAGCUAGAUGUGAAAGCCCCGGGCUCAACCUGGGAACUGCAUUUAGAACUGGCAGGCUAGAAUACGGUAGAGGUUAGUGGAAUUUCCUGUGUAGCGGUGAAAUGCGUAGAGAUGGAAAGGAACACCAGUGGCGAAGGCGACUGACUGGACCGAUAUUGACGCUGAGGUGCGAAAGCGUGGGUAGCAAACA